rnacentral:RNase_P_RNA from 1 species
CCAGUCGGCUGGGCGACCGCUGCCGUCAUAUGUCGAAAGACGACGGGGGAGGAAAGUCCGGGCUCCACGGAGAAACGGUGCCGGAUAACGUCCGGCGGGGGCGACCCCAGGGAAAGUGCCACAGAAAAUAAACCGCCCCGCCUGCGGUUCGGCCGAGAGCCCGUCGAUGACCGCAUGGGCGGACAUGGGCGGCGGGCCGAAGCGCUGGCGGGGUAAGGGUGAAACGGUGGGGUAAGAGCCCACCGCGCUUCUGGCAACAGCGGCGGCAGGGCAAACCCCACCGGGAGCAAGACCGAAUAGGGACGACGUGGCGGGAAACCGCCAGCCUUUCUCCGGGCCGGUCGUCCGGGUGGGUUGCUCGAGGCGGCGCGCAAGCGCCGUCCCAGAGGAAUGGUCGCCCGGCAGUUCGCUGCCGACAGAACCCGGCUUACAGGCCGACUGGCAAC